AACUAGAGGCUCUCAAGAGCCUGUGUCGCUCACCUGACUCUACUUUGGUUUUAGAAAUCAUGUAAUGAUAGAUAAAAAUCAUAACAGAUACCCAAGUAAUGAUUGAGGCCAAAUAUUGAUUAAUAUUGGUCCCGUUAUUUAAUAAAAUAUCCUGGUGGCCAUCUUGAACAGUAAAUCGGCAACAAAGUAGCAACACUUGGUCAGCACUUCAUAAGGAACAUUCAUGCCAUGUUUGGUUUCAUUCCAUUCAGUGGUACUCUAAAAGAAGACAUUUGUAUGUAUUUCCCAUAGGGUCCUAUGUUAAACUAAGUCCCCCGCUGGCGGCCAUCUUGGAUGAUGGAUCGGCUGCAAAGUAACAACACAUGGUCAACAUCUCAUAAGGAACAUUCAUGCUAUGUUUGGUUCCAUUCCAUUUAUUGGUUCUCUAAAAGAAGACAUUUUUAUGUAUUUCCCAAAGGGUCCUAUGUAAAACUAAGUCCCCCGCUGGCAGCCUUCUUGGAUGAUGGAUUGGCUACAAAGUAACAACACUUGGUCAGCAUCUCAUAAGGAAGAUUCAUGCCAUGUUUGGUUUCAUUCCAUUCAGUGGUUCUCUAAAAGAAGACAUUUGUAUGUAUUUCCCAUAGGGUCCUAUGUUAAACUAAGUCCCCCGCUGGCGGCCAUCUUGCAUGAUGGAUCGGCUACAAAGUAACAACACUUGGUGAGCACCUCAUAAGGAACAUUCAUGCCAUGUUUGGUUUCAUUCCAUUCAGUGGUUCUCUAAAAGAAGUCAUUUGUAUGCAUUUCCCAUAGGGUCCUAUGUUAAACUAAGUCCCCCGCUUGCGGCCAUCUUGGAUGAUGGAUCGGCUACAAAGUAACAAUACUUGGUCAGCAACUCAUAAGGAACAUUCAUGCAAUGUUUGGUUCAUUUCCAUUCAGUGGUUCUCUAAAAGAAGACAAUUGUAUGUAUUUCCCAUAGGGUCCUAUGUUAAACUAAGUCCCCCGCUGGCGGCCAUCUUGGAUGAUGGAUCGGCUGCAAAGUAACAACACAUGGUCAACAUCUCAUAAGGAACAUUCAUGCUAUGUUUGGUUCCAUUCCAUUUAUUGGUUCUCUAAAAGAAGACAUUUUUAUGUAUUUCCCAAAGGGUCCUAUGUAAAACUAAGUCCCACGCUGGCAGCCUUCUUGGAUGAUGGAUCGGCUACAAAGUAACAACACUUGGUCAGCAUCUCAUAAGGAAGAUUCAUGCCAUGUUUGGUUUCAUUCCAUUCAGUGGUUCUCUAAAAGAAGACAUUUGUAUGUAUUUCCCAUAGGGUCCUAUGUUAAACUAAGUCCCCCGCUGGCGGCCAUCUUGGAUGAUGGAUCGGCUACAAAGUAACAACACUUGGUCAGCACCUCAUAAGGAACAUUCAUGCCAUGUUUGGUUUCAUUCCAUUCAGCGGUUCUCUAAAAGAAGACAUUUGUAUGUAUUUCCCAUAGGGUCCUAUGUUAAACUAAGUCCCCCCGCUGGCGGCCAUCUUGGAUGAUGGACCGACUGCAAAGUAACAACACUUGGUCAGCAUCUCAUAAGGAACAUUCAUGCCAUGUUUGGUUCCAUUCCAUUCAGUGGUUCUCUAAAAGAAGACAUUUUUAUGUAUUUCCCAUAGGGUCCUAUGUUAAACUAAGUUCCCCAAUGGCGGCCAUCUUGGAUGAUGGAUCGGCUACAAAGUAACAACACAUGGUCAGCACCUCAUAAGGAACAUUCAUGCCAUGUUUGGUUUUAUUCCAUUCAGUGGUUCUCUAAAAGAAGUCAUUUGUAUGCAUUUCCCAUAGGGUCCUAUGUUAAACUAAGUCCCCCUCUGGCGGCCAUCUUGGAUGAUGGAUCGGCUACAAAGUAACAACACUUGGUGAGCACCUCAUAAGGAACAUUCAUGCCAUGUUUGGUUUGAUUCCAUUCAGUGGUUCUCUAAAAGAAGUCAUUUGUAUGCAUUUCCCAUAGGGUCCUAUGUUAAACUAAGUCCCCCGCUGGCGGCCAUCUUGGAUGAUGGAUCGGCUACAAAGUAACAACACUUGGUGAGCACCUCAUAAGGAACAUUCAUGCCAUGUUUGGUUUCAUUCCAUUCAGUGGUUCUCUAAAAGAA